AAUAGAUACCCAGGUAGUCCACGCCGUAAACGAUGAGUGCUAAGUGUUAGAGGGUUUCCGCCCUUUAGUGCUGCAGCAAACGCAUUAAGCACUCCGCCUGGGGAGUACGGCCGCAAGGCUGAAACUCAAAGGAAUUGACGGGGGCCCGCACAAGCGGUGGAGCAUGUGGUUUAAUUCGAAGCAACGCGAAGAACCUUACCAGGUCUUGACAUCUCCUGACAACCCUAGAGAUAGGGCGUUCCCCUUCGGGGGACAGGAUGACAGGUGGUGCAUGGUUGUCGUCAGCUCGUGUCGUGAGAUGUUGGGUUAAGUCCCGCAACGAGCGCAACCCUUGAUCUUAGUUGCCAGCAUUCAGUUGGGCACUCUAAGGUGACUGCCGGUGACAAACCGGAGGAAGGUGGGGAUGACGUCAAAUCAUCAUGCCCCUUAUGACCUGGGCUACACACGUGCUACAAUGGAUGGUACAAAGGGCUGCGAGACCGCGAGGCUAAGCGAAUCCCAUAAAACCAUUCUCAGUUCGGAUUGC
rnacentral:rRNA from 1 species